rnacentral:rRNA from 1 species
UACAGAGGGUGCGAGCGUUAAUCGGAAUUACUGGGCGUAAAGCGCACGUAGGCGGCUUGGUAUGUCGGGUGUGAAAUCCCCGGGCUCAACCUGGGAACUGCAUCCGAAACUGCCUUGCUCGAGUAUGGGAGAGGGAAGUGGAAUUUCCGGUGUAGCGGUGAAAUGCGUAGAUAUCAGGAGGAACACCAAUGGCGAAGGCAGCACUCUGGGACGUGACUGACGCUGAGACGCGAAAGCGUGGGGAGCAAACAGG